rnacentral:rRNA from 1 species
UGCGUAGGGUGCGAGCGUUGUCCGGAAUUAUUGGGCGUAAAGAGCUCGUAGGCGGUCUGUCGCGUCGGUCGUGAAAACUUGGGGCUUAACCCUGAGCUUGCGGUCGAUACGGGCAUGACUGGAGUUCGGCAGGGGAGACUGGAAUUCCUGGUGUAGCGGUGAAAUGCGCAGAUAUCAGGAGGAACACCGGUGGCGAAGGCGGGUCUCUGGGCCGAUACUGACGCUGAGGAGCGAAAGCGUGGGGAGCGAACAGG